rnacentral:lncRNA from 1 species
GCUUGAUCUUGCUUCCCUCUGUGUCAACUCUGUUUUUGGGGACUCCUUCAUGGUGGCAAGAAACUGCCAGCACCUCCAGGCUUCCUUGCGUCAUUCUCUUUCCCAGCAGCCCUUACUGAAGAGCUGUAUUAACUUCCAUAGACUCCCAUUGGCCCAGCUUGGGUCACAUGCUUACCACUGAACCAAUCAAUGGGGUCAGGAAAAGGAGUUGCCCUGAUUGGAUAGGCUGGGGUCUCAUGACCAUUCCUGGGCCAUAAAAGGAGGGAGACAAUCCCACUCCAGCCCCCACUCCAGACUGUGAAAAGAUCUCCAGGGCAGGUAGGCUGCUCUUCCCUGAAGAGAGGGGCGCAGGUUCUGGGCGGGCAGAGCUGGGAUGGGUAUUAUGUGAGCUGUGCCUGGGCAGCACUGCCCUCCCGGCUUCCAGACCCAGAGUUGGCUGCAUUGUGGGGACCCCAGACCAUGGAAUACUCUGAGUUGGAUGGGUGCCCCUGGGUCAGACCUUGGUAAUAGUCAUAUGAGAUUCAGGGACUCAGCGCUGUGAAAUCACCGCGCCCAGCCCUCUUCUGACACUUUGUCCCUGUAGCCUCUUCGGGGAGGCUCAGGCCACCACAGGACAUCUCUGGGCAGCCCUGUGCCCCUGGGAAGUGAGGUCCUCGAAGGCAGAGACUCAGCUGGGUCUCCCUUUGCUCCAGGAUGAAGGGCUGGACCAGGCAUUGUGGCAUAAAUGAAUAGAUUUCUGUCCAAACCUCAUUCUCCUUGUAUGUUUAACCAAAGUGAAGAUGGGGGUGUGUGUUUCCAUCCUCUGAUUCAGGUCAUUUAGGAAAAAGCCUUACCACUUCCUGGAGUCUACACAUGAAACAUCUGAAGAUGCCGAAGUGUCUCUUACCUCCACCCCAUUCACUCACUCCUCAGACUAGCAUUCCACCAGGAGCCACCCCAGCCAGAAAGGUCUCUGUGUCCAUCUGCCUGCUUGGCACUGCGGGCAGCAGAUGGGGGCCAGCGAACCAUCUUGGAAGAGGUGCACGGAGAAGGACAAGGCCGGCCUCCCCUCACCAGCUGUUAAGGGGCUCGCCAAUUAAGUGGCUGCUUAGGGCUUUCAGAACCACUCAUCAGAACUGCCAAAACCUUUAAAAAGAGCUUUUCAAAAAUUUUCUCUUCAUUUUUUUAAGCGUGCUAAAAGGUUCAUUAAAGAUCCCCAAAGGGUGGAGAAG